AACGAACGCUGGCGGCGUGCCUAACACAUGCAAGUCGAGCGCGAAAAGGGCAACCUGAGUAGAGCGGCGCACGGGUGCGUAACACGUGGGUAAUCUGCCUUAGAGUCGAGGAUAACCUUCCGAAAGGUUGGCUAAUACUCGGUAAGCUUACGGUGUCUUCGGACGCUGUGGGAAAAGUAGGCCUCUGUUUACAAGCUUACGCUCUGAGAUGAGCCCGCGGCCCAUCAGCUAGUUGGCGGGGUAACGGACCACCAAGGCAACGACGGGUAGCUGGUCUGAGAGGACGAUCAGCCACACUGGGACUGAGACACGGUACAGACUCCUACGGGAGGCAGCAGUGGGGAAUUUUCCACAAUGGGCGAAAGCCUGAUGGAGCAACGCCGCGUGUGUGAUGAAGGUUUUCGGAUCGUAAAGCACUUUCGACUGGGACGAAAAACCUUUGGCUAACAUCCAGGGGCCUGACGGUACCAGGAGAAGAAGCACCGGCUAACUCUGUGCCAGCCGCCGCCGUAACAC
rnacentral:rRNA from 1 species